ACUCAAAUGAAUUGACGGGGACCCGCACAAGCAGCGGAGCGUGUGGUUUAAUUCGAUGCGACGCGAAUAACCUUACCAGGGCUUGACAUCUAUUCGCAACACUUUGAAAGAAGUGCCUCCUUCGGGACGGAUAGACAGAUGUUGCAUGGCUGUCGUCAGCUCGUGUCGUGAGAUGUUGGGUUAAGUCCCGCAACGAGCGCAACCCUUGUCCUUAGUUGCAUAUCUAGGGAGACCGCCGGAAACAAACCGGAGGAAGGUGGGGAUGACGUCAAGUCAGCAUGACUCUUACGUCCUGGGCUACACACACGCUACAAUGGCCGUUACAGUGAGAAGCCAUCUCGCAAGAGAGAGCAGACCUACAAAGGCGGCCCCAGUUCAGAUUGCACUCUGAAACCCGAGUGCAUGAAGUCGGAGUUGCUAGUAACCGCGUGUCAGCAUAGCGCGGUGAAUAUGUUCCCGGGUCUUGUACACACCGCCCGU
rnacentral:rRNA from 1 species